CCCCCCAACUGCUCCCCCGUACUCUGCUCCUACAGGCCCAGCUGCUGUGGCUGUGCGACCUGCAGGGACUGGCAGACCCGUAGCUAAGACGCCAGGAUUUCCUGGAAGCAGAGAAAUGCUGUGUUCUCAUUUCACCCAAGACCUUUGGCUAGAUCAGAACAUAAAAAAUUCAUUUCAAAAAGUGAUACUGAGAAGAUAUGAGAAAUCUAGACAUGAGAAUUUACAAAUAAGAAAAGGCUGUAAAAGUUUGAAUGCAUCUAAGUUGCAGGAAGGAGGUUAUAAUGGACUUAACCAAUGUUUGUCGGUUACUCAGAGCAAAAUACUUCAAUGUAAUACAUGUGUGAAAGUCUUUAGGAAAUUUUCAAAUUCAAAUAGACUUAGGAGAAGACAUACUGGAGAGAAACCUUUCAAAUGUAAAGAAUGUGGCCAAUUCUUUCACAGGUUCUCACACCUAAGACAACAUGAGAUAAUUCAUACUGAAGAGAAACCCUACCAACAUGAAGAAUGUGGCAAAGAUUUUAAGCAGUCUUCAGGUCUUACUAUACAUGAGAGAAUUCAUACUAAAGAGAGACCCUA
rnacentral:lncRNA from 1 species